rnacentral:rRNA from 1 species
CUGCAUCCGAUACUGGCUGACUAGAGUGUGGGAGAGGAAGGUAGAAUUCCAGGUGUAGCGGUGAAAUGCGUAGAGAUCUGGAGGAAUACCGAUGGCGAAGGCAGCCUUCUGGCCUAACACUGACGCUGAGGUGCGAAAGCAUGGGGAGCAAACAGGAUUAGAUACCCUGGUAGUCCAUGCUGUAAACGAUGUCAACUAGCCGUUGGGGUCUUUAAGACUUUAGUGGCGUAGCUAACGCGAUAAGUUGACCGCCUGGGGAGUACGGUCGCAAAGACUAAAAAACUCAAAAUGGAAAUUUGACGGGGGGCCCGCACAAGCGGUGGAGCAUGUGGUUUAAUUCGAUGCAACGCGAAGAACCUUACCUGGCCUUGACAUGUCUGGAAUCGUUGUAGAGAUACGAGAGUGCCUUCGGGAAUCAGAACACAGGUGCUGCAUGGCUGUCGUCAGCUCGUGUCGUGAGAAUGUUGGGGUUAAGUCCCCGCAACGAGCGCAACCCCUUAUCCUUAUUUGCCAG